UACCAGCUCUCCGAGUGGUAGGGAUGAUUAUUGGGCUUAAAGCGUCCGUAGCCGGCUUAGCAAGUCUCCUGUUAAACUCAGCGACCUAAUCGUUGAAUCGCGGGAGAUACUACUAGGCUAGGAGGCGGGAGAGGUCGACGGUACUUCUGGGGUAGGGGUGAAAUCCUAUAAUCCCGGGAGGACCACCAGUGGCGAAGGCUGUCGACUAGAACGCGCUCGACGGUGAGGGACGAAAGCUGGGGUAGCGAACCGGAUUAGAUACCCGGGUAGUCCCAGCUGUAAACGAUGCGGGCUAGGUGUUGGGAUGGCUACGGGCCAUUUCAGUGCCGCAGGGAAGCCAUUAAGCCCGCCGCCUGGGGAGUACGGCCGCAAGGCUGAAACUUAAAGGAAUUGGCGGGGAGCACCACAAGGCGUGAAGCUUGCGGUUC
rnacentral:rRNA from 1 species